rnacentral:lncRNA from 1 species
CCUGUUCUUCUGGUCAGAUCGUAGGAACCCACACGAAGUGCAGCCCUCUUACGCAACCAGAUAUGCUAUGACUGUCUGGUACUUUGAUGCUGAAGAAAGGGCAGAAGCCAAAAAGAAAUUCAGGAAUUUAACUAGGAAAACUGAAUCUGCCCUCACUGAAGACUGACCGUGCUCUGAAAUCUGCUGGCCUUGUUCAUUUUAGUAACGGUUCCUGAAUUCUCUUAAAUUCUUUGAGAUCCAAAGAUGGCCUCUUCAGUGACAACAAUCUCCCUGCUACUUCUUGCAUCCUUCACAUCCCUGUCUUGUGUGUGGUACUUCAUGUUUUCUUGCCAAGACUGUGUUGAUCUUCAGAUACUCUCUUUGCCAGAUGAAGUUACUUGCUAACUCCAGAAAUUCCUGCAGACAUCCUACUCGGCCAGCGGUUUACCUGAUAGAUUCGGUAAUACUAUCAAGAGAAGAGCCUAGGAGCACAGCGAGGGAAUGAACCUUACUUGCACUUUAUGUAUACUUCCUGAUUUGAAAGGAGGAGGUUUGAAAAGAAAAAAAUGGAGGUGGUAGAUGCCACAGAGAGGCAUCACGGAAGCCUUAACAGCAGGAAACAGAGAAAUUUGUGUCAUCUGAACAAUUUCCAGAUGUUCUUAAUCCAGGGCUGUUGGGGUUUCUGGAGAAUUAUCACAACCUAAUGACAUUAAUACCUCUAGAAAGGGCUGCUGUCAUAGUGAACAAUUUAUAAGUGUCCCAUGGGGCAGACACUCCUUUUUUCCCAGUCCUGCAACCUGGAUUUUCUGCCUCAGCCCCAUUUUGCUGAAAAUAAUGACUUUCUGAAUAAAGAUGGCAACACA